rnacentral:misc_RNA from 1 species
AAUUCUCAACCUCCUCUAGCUUUGUAGUAAAAGCUGGUUUAGGCUUGGAUUUGGAGGUUGCUGGUUUCUGAGAAAAUCAGCUCUUCUUAAAUGCCUUAGCAGAAUCUUUGCUGAUCAUCUUUGGUAUGAUAAUUAUCUAUACCGUGGAAAUUCGGUAUCCAGUAUUGGAAGAGGCUCUGCUUAAAAUCGUCUAAUCAGACAAUUUGAUA